GACGAACGCUGGCGGCGUGCUUAACACAUGCAAGUCGAACGGAAAGGCCCUGCUUUUGUGGGGUGCUCGAGUGGCGAAUGGGUGAGUAACACGUGAGUAACCUGCCCUUGACUUUGGGAUAACUUCAGGAAACUGGGGCUAAUACCGGAUAGGAGCUCCUGCUGCAUGGUGGGGGUUGGAAAGUUUCGGCGGUUGGGGAUGGACUCGCGGCUUAUCAGCUUGUUGGUGGGGUAGUGGCUUACCAAGGCUUUGACGGGUAGCCGGCCUGAGAGGGUGACCGGCCACAUUGGGACUGAGAUACGGCCCAGACUCCUACGGGAGGCAGCAGUGGGGAAUAUUGCACAAUGGGCGGAAGCCUGAUGCAGCAACGCCGCGUGCGGGAUGACGGCCUUCGGGUUGUAAACCGCUUUCGCUUGUGACGAAGCGUGAGUGACGGUAAUGGGUAAAGAAGCACCGGCUAACUACGUG
rnacentral:rRNA from 1 species